rnacentral:rRNA from 1 species
UACGUGGGGGGCUAGCGUUGUUCGGAAUUACUGGGCGUAAAGGGCGCGUAGGCGGUCUGCUAAGUUGGAUGUGAAAACUCUGGGCUUAACCCAGAGCCUGCAUUCAAUACUGACAGGCUAGAGUUCUGGAGGGGAUAGCGGAAUUCCUGGUGUAGCGGUGAAAUGCGUAGAUAUCAGGAGGAACACCGGUGGCGAAGGCGGCUAUCUGGACAGAAACUGACGCUGAGGCGCGAAAGCUAGGGGAGCAAACAGG